rnacentral:rRNA from 1 species
CCUACGGGCGGCUGCAGUGGGGAAUAUUGCGCAAUGGGCGCAAGCCUGAUGCAGCCAUGCCGCGUGUGUGAAGAAGGCCUUCGGGUUGUAAAGCACUUUCAGCGGGGAGGAAGGCGUUAAGGUUAAUAACCUUGGCGAUUGACGUUACCCGCAGAAGAAGCACCGGCUAACUCCGUGCCAGCAGCCGCGGUAAUACGGAGGGUGCAAGCGUUAAUCGGAAUUACUGGGCGUAAAGCGCACGCAGGCGGUCUGUCAAGUCGGAUGUGAAAUCCCCGGGCUCAACCUGGGAACUGCAUUCGAAACUGGCAGGCUAGAGUCUUGUAGAGGGGGGUAGAAUUCCAGGUGUAGCGGUGAAAUGCGUAGAGAUCUGGAGGAAUACCGGUGGCGAAGGCGGCCCCCUGGACAAAGACUGACGCUCAGGUGCGAAAGCGUGGGGAGCAAACAGGAUUAGAUACCCCUGUAGUC